rnacentral:rRNA from 1 species
AGCCAUGCAUGUCUAAGUAUAAGCACUUUAUACUGUGAAACUGCGAAUGGCUCAUUAAAUCAGUUAUAGUUUAUUUGAUAAUACCUUACUACUUGGAUAACCGUGGUAAUUCUAGUGCUAAUACAUGCUUUAAACCCCGACUUCUGGAAGGGGUGUAUUUAUUAGAUAAAAAACCAAUCGUAGCAAUACGUUUUCUGGUGAAUCAUGAUAACUAUUCGAAUCGCAUGGCUCUGCCGGCGAUGGUUCAUUCAAAUUUCUGCCCUAUCAACUUUCGAUGGUAGUAUAGAGGACUACCAUGGUUAUAACGGGUAACGGAGAAUUAGGGUUCGAUUCCGGAGAGGGAGCCUGAGAAACGGCUACCACAUCCAAGGAAGGCAGCAGGCGCGCAAAUUACCCAAUCCCGAUUCGGGGAGGUAGUGACAAUAAAUAACAAUACAGAGCUUUUUAAGUUUUGUAAUUGUAAUGAGAACAAUUUAAACCUCUUAACGAGAACCAAUUGGAGGGCAAGUCUGGUGCCAGCAGCCGCGGUAAUUCCAGCUCCAAUAGCGUAUAUUAAAGUUGUUGCAGUUAAAAAGCUCGUAGUUGAACUUUGGGCUUGGCUGGGCGGUCUGCUCUUAGAGCAGUACUUCUCUGGCUGAGUCUUUCCUUCUGGAGAACUAUGGUGCUAUUCAUUUAGUGCUAUAGGGAACCAGGACUUUUACUUUGAAAAAAUUAGAGUGUUUAAAGCAGGCUUACGCUUGAAUACAUUAGCAUGGAAUAAUAAAAUAGGACUUUGGUUUUAUUUUGUUGGUUUUCGAAACCGAAGUAAUGAUUAAUAGGGAUAGUUGGGGGCAUUUGUAUUGAGCCGUCAGAGGUGAAAUUCUUGGAUUGGCUCAAGACAAACUUCUGCGAAAGCAUUUGCCAAGGAUGUUUUCAUUAAUCAAGAACGAAAGUUAGGGGAUCGAAGACG